UUUAUCUUGCCUGUAUUAUAUUCUGAUUUGCUCAGUACUUCUGUCCCUGUGUGCACUGACAGUGAGCUGCUGUAACAGAGAGUUAACCCCUCGGGGAUCAAUAAAGUGUUUCUGAUUCUGAUAGAUGGUAACCUUUGACACAUUGGAUCUGGCAGGCAAAUCGAUGCUUCGACACUCUUCCUGCCCUGCAGCAUUUAAAUCAAACGCACCUUCUGUAAAGAGGCGGGUUGUUCAAAUCUCCGCCCUGUCGGUGUUUGUGGUGCACGUGCACCUGAUAUUAAUUAAGCGUUGGAAACACUUUUCACCACCACUGCCGCUCCUGUAGUAUUACAAACAAGCUAACCUACAGAAAGUCACAUUACGUUGCUUCAGCUUAAUUAUUUUUAGAUGAAUGUGGCUGCGAGCGCCAUUUUGAGCCGGAAGUCCUGGAGUUCCCAGUUUACCUGGAGGUGCUGCUUCACCUUCACAAGGCGCAAAAUAAAUGAUGUUCAGAGUACUCCACUGUGCAGAUAGCCGGCAACCACAACUUUGAGAACAUCAGGAAUUGCUGCAACAGCUCAACUUUGAAAGAUACACCCUGCUCACCUUAAUAAUCCGAGCCAGUCCGAAGUCGGCCACCUUGCAGACCAGAUCGUUACCCACCAGGAUGUUCCUGGCAGCCAGGUCUCUGUGGACGAUGUUUCUGUCCUCCAGCACUCACAGGCGAGGUAGGACUUGAGGCUUCCUUUGCUCAUGAGCUCGGUCACGAUGUAGACCGGCUCUCCUCUGGAGCACAUGGCCAACAGCUGGAUCAGCUUCGGGUGAUGGAGGCUCUUCAAUGCCUGAACCU